CCUACGGGAGGCAGCAGUGAGGAAUAUUGGUCAAUGGACGAGAGUCUGAACCAGCCAAGUAGCGUGAAGGAUGACUGCCCUAUGGGUUGUAAACUUCUUUUAUAUGGGAAUAAAAUGUUCCACGUGUGGGAUUUUGUAUGUACCAUAUGAAUAAGGAUCGGCUAACUCCGUGCCAGCAGCCGCGGUAAUACGGAGGAUCCGAGCGUUAUCCGGAUUUAUUGGGUUUAAAGGGAGCGUAGGUGGAUUGUUAAGUCAGUUGUGAAAGUUUGAGGCUCAACCGUAAAAUUGCAGUUGAAAAUGGCAGUCUUGAGUACAGUAGAGGUUGGCGGAAUUCGUGGUGUAGCGGUGAAAUGCUUAGAUAUCACGAAGAACUCCGAUUGCGAAGGCAGUUCACUGGACUGCAACUGACACUGAGGCUCGAAAGUGUGGGUAUCAAACAGGAUUAGAUACCCCAGUAGUC
rnacentral:rRNA from 1 species